CGCUGGCGGCGUGCCUAAUACAUGCAAGUCGAGCGGCAGCAUGUCUCUCACCACUUCGGUAGUUGUGACCAUUAAAGUCACAAGUAACUCGGGGGAGUGGUGAGAGAUGAUGGCGAGCGGCGGACGGCAGAGUAACGCGUAGGAACAUACCCCAAACUGAGGGAUAACUGCUCGAAAGAGUAGCUAAUACCGCAUGUGAUCUUCGGAUUAAAGCUUCGGCGGUUUGGGAAUGGCCUGCGUCCGAUUAGCUUGUUGGUGAGGUAAAAGCUCACCAAGGCGACGAUCGGUAGCAGGUCUGAGAGGAUGAUCAGCCUGACUGGAACUGAGAACGGUCCAGACUCCUACGGGAGGCAGCAGUAGGGAAUUUUCCACAAUGGGCGAAAGCCUGAUGGAGCAACGCCGCGUGCAGGAUGAAUGCCUUCGGGUUGUAAACUGCUUUUAUUAGUGAAGAAUAUGACGGUAACUAAUGAAUAAGGGUCGGCUAACUACGUG
rnacentral:rRNA from 1 species